UGGGUGGGGGGAAGGCAGUGCUCCAACUGCCCCUAUCAAAUGUAGCUCCUCCCUUUCUGCCAUUUUCCUGGGAAAGGCUGGAAAGGGUUAACUGCCCAGAGCCCUAAUUUGUCAGAGCCCAUAAAUGGGAGUUCUCCUUCCAGCCCACCUGCUCUCUCCUUCUCAGGGAGAUGGUCUUUAGCCUAGUUUUGCUGGUUUGGUUUGCUCUUUUUGUUAGGAAAAAUACAACGCAACAUUUCCUAGGGGAAGAGAUACAGUGGAGGAAGAUUGCCAGAGAAUCUUUUCCAGAUGAAAAAACGAUGGAUGAGAGCUUAUUUGGCAGAUGCUGAACAAGUGAGCCAACAAGAAAAUCUUCACUUGAGAACUCCGGAGAACAGCAAUCUCACAGGUGGAGAAAGACAGGAGACUUCCCAGUCAUCUGAGGUACAAGAAGGAUGCGGAACUCACUUUGGACUCCAGCGCUGUGAACAAGUCAAUCCAGAGAGAAGACAUUCGCCAUCAGACAACCAACAUUUAAGUGGAGCUACUUCAGAUGGGAGAGAAUUAGUGGAGAGAGCAUGCGAUGAAAACUUUAGUUUGAAUGUUUCACAGAGGAAGUCAGUCCAAAGAGCAAAGAAAACUUUUAUAUGCCGGCAGUGUGGGAUACAUUUACGUUCCAGUUCUUUCCUUUGUAGACAUCUACAAGAAGCCCACAAAGUAGGAACGCUGUACAUAUGCCCAAACUGUGGGGAAAGAUUUAUGUCUAAUUCAGGCCUUUCCAAACACAAAAAAUCCCACAAAGGAGAAAAGCCACAUCAAUGUAGAAAGUGUGGGAAAAGCUUUAAGUACAAAUGGUAUCUUGAUCUACAUAGAAGAAUUCACAUAGAAGAGAAAACAUAUGAAUGCUCAGACUCUGGGAAAUAUUUUAUUUUUCAAUCAAAUCUUUCAGAAGACAAAAAAUCCCACACAGGAGAGAAGUUACAUAAGUUUUAGUUCUAAUUCAGAUCUCUCAGCACACAAGAAAACCCACAGUGAAGAAAAGCUGCAUCAAUGUGUAGAGUGUGGGGAAAGUUUUAAGUUAAAAUGUUCUCUUCUUAAACAUACAAUAGUUCACACCAGAGAGAAGCUUUAUAAAUGUUCAGAGUGUAGGAAAGGUUUUAGUUCUAGUUCAACACUUUCAGCGCACAAAAAAACCCCCACACGUGAGAGAAGCCACAUCAAUGCAUAGGGUGUGGGAAAAGUUGUAAGUUCAAAAGUUAUCUUGUUCAGCAUAGCAGAGUUUACACAGGAGAGAUCUUAUAAAUAUUCAGAGUGUGAGAAAGCUUUUAGCUCUACAUCUGGUCCCUAUCAUCCUGGAAAAUAUCAUAGAGGAGAGAAACCAUACCAAUGCUUGAGAUGUGGGGAAAUCUUCAGUCAGAAAUAACAUCUUGUUGCCCACAAGGGAAUCCACAUGAGAGAAACUCCAUACAUGUCUGCAGUGUGAGAAAUCCUUCCAUCAAGCAACUGAACUUUUACUGCCCAAGAUAGCACAUACAUGAAAGAAAUCCAAUCAUUGUUUGCAAAGCCAAAGAACCUUCUAUUACUUCAGGGACAUUUCAUUUUUAAGUGCUUUUCAAAAAUUGUCCAGCAUUACUCGGGCCUGUAACAAAUAUUAUUUCAUAUUGUUGACAAGAAUUUUGAACAUUUAUGUUCAUUUUUAUCUUCAUCGUGUUUUGUGCUGAAGGGUUGGCACCUUGGAACUUGAGGAGGGUUGUUUGUUUCAGGAAAGGGCGCUGCAUUGAGUUGUAAUGUGGACCAACUCUUUUUAAAGCUAAAUAAAUGUUCUUAAUUCUGUU